AAAUAUAAGUGAAAGAGCUAAAACGCUAAAAAAAAUCACUACAGCAACAAAGUAAUUGUACUCUGUUACUUCCCACUAGUGGUAUUUCGGGGUGCUCAAAUCCAUUCUCCAAAAAGUUUUGUUUUCGAUGUGGACCUAUUGUUGUUUCCCGUGAUAUGAUGGAGGGGUGUCCAAUCCCAGCCUCAUCCACGUGCGAGCCUCCUCCAGUGACGCAGAGAGUAAGUGAGCGACAGCCGCCUUCAUAUACUGUACUCCCGACUCCCCGCUCCAAAGUCGCUCAAGAGUCACACGCGCAAAUAACGGAAUCCACGCAGCAGAAGAGGAAAACAUGUACACCAAGCAGAAGAAGCGAGCAGCAUCCUCCUCCUCCAGCAGCAGCAGCUUGCCGAAGCUUAGUGGAAGAAGUGUGAGUGCUGUCGGCCUCACCGUCCUCCUGGUUCUCGCCACGGUUCCUCUCAUACACAGUGCUUCAAUAGAACCUCUGCGAGCCACGGUGGACCAAAAGCAGCUUCUUAGCCAGGUAAGCAACACCGCUUCGUUCUUCUCUCCUCCUGUUCUCCUUCUCAUCCACUGUAUGUUGAAUCUCCACAGAUAGACGCAGCCUGCUCCUCCUUCUUCUCUGCAGACUAUCAGGCAUCUGACAUCUUAGGGGAAAUUUGCUUCUUGAUGUUGGUCCAAAACUCCAAGGAGCUCAAAGGACAAGAGAAUAACAAAAAGAGCUCGGCAUUGCAGCCCCUCCUCCAUUUGGUGACCCGUCUGCACACCCGGCAACAGAGAGGACUCUCAGUGCAGGCCGAGCUGGAAGGACCUGCUGGGAUCCAAAGUCGAGGCUACUUCCUUUAUCGGCCUCGAAAUGGAAGAAGAGCGUUAAAAUAUGAGUAGCCAAAAGAUAAUUGAUCACGUGAGCCGUCAAGUCACUGCACCGGAUCAAGUCGACAACAUCAUUUACUGAAUGUAGUACAUCAAGAUGAUCUUAUGAAAAAAAAAUACUCCUUGCUGUAAAAUGUAUAUAUAUAUAUGUUCUUUGCAUUAAAAGUGCGAUCA